rnacentral:lncRNA from 10 species
AAAAAUCUUGAAGCCUUGAAGCCACCUGCAGGGCUGUUGUUUUCCAAGGCCUUGCACUUACGUAAUUGACAUCUACAUAGACACACUCCUGGAACAUAUCGGGGGAGGCAGGCAUUCUGCUUGUUCUCAUUUGUUCUCAAAUUACAUGAUAAAAUACAUGUUUUGGACCUUUUAAACCAAAGGGAGUUAUUGAGCCCGCUUACAAAAUCCAUAACAUGUUAGCAGGACUUAUCUAGCUGCCUCCACAGAAUAGCCAAGCAACUCUACACCCGCUUUAGCCCCCACAAAAACAAGCGGAUUGCACUACAAAUAAUUUGCCUAUUUGGAAAAUGAAAGCUUCUCUGUAGUUUGAGGUCCUAUUUUUUCUUUAAGUUGUUACAGUCUUUUCAUGGUCCUUGAGGUCUAGGUUAGGUUUUUGUUUGGGGUAAUUUUUGUAUCCUAUGGAUACUAUUUAAUCUUUAGUAUUGAGUCAGUAUUUCUCACUUAGGCCUUAGGGGAAUACUGCCUGAAGUAUGUAGGGGGCAUGCGGAAUUCAGACGUGGCUUGGAAACUGCACCAUGGGUUCACCCAAGAAACAGACCAGAGGCAACACAUUCUAUCACUAAAACGUGUUCUCAGUUACACUUCCCUUCCAAAGAGGAGAAAAUAUACAAAGAGAAGAUGAAGAGACAACCAAAGUAAGACACAGUUAUCCAGAAAGAGCCCUAGAGAUGGAUAAGGAACCUGUUGGAAUGCUCUGAUAUUAAGAAAAAAAAAAUUAAAUUCAAAACCAAAAACAAGUCACAAGGGAGUUUUAUGCCUAUGUAAUCAGUGCAGACAGCCGUUAAGUAAAUGAAGAGGCAACUAACAAUGUCAGAAAAGAGACCGGGCGGUUCCGGCUGACACUACCCUAAUCUUCCAGGACCCAUUAAAUGGUAGUUUCAACGCAUUACCUACCAUAACAUCCUUGAAUAUCACUGAUUUUAUUUGCAGUAUCAAACAUUCCAUUUCAUGCCCCAUUAACAGUGGGAGCCUGGGCUUUUUGACGCAGCUAAACAUUUUACUAACUACCUGGACUAAGUAACCAAUUAACUUUUGGAGACAAUACGGCCAAUUAAGCGCGAAAAGAAAAUUUGGAAAACAGGCUUUUCCUAUCCGGAUGAACAGAGAUAAUUUGUGUCGAUGGAUGUUCUGUGAAGGCCUAUUGUGUCGAGCAGCGUAUUAAAACAUAAACAUGGCUCUUCCCCCAAGAAACUUACAUUUCAGUAAGGGAGCCUGGCCAAAAUGGAAAACUGCAAGGUUCAAAUCCUGGAGUGCAGAAGAAGCAUUAGGCAUUGACCCUGUGGCUUCCUAAUAGAUCCGCAAAGUGCUUUGUUCCUGGAAAUCAUCCGAUGAGUAGUUCAGUGCUAUUGUAUAUCUUGUUAGAGCAGCCGAAGUGCCACAAAAUGAACUAAAAUCUCCCUGCAGAGUUGCUGUAUCAUAUGCUGAGAACAUUCGGAACUUUCAACAAAUUCAUGUUACGAUCCUGGGUAGCCAUGGUUAAAUCUGUACAGGGGUUAAAUGAGAAAUAUGAGCCUGCUGUUAAGUGUCUUCUGAGAGUGACAAAGCUCUGGCCAUAAGGGAUGGGAGAGGAGGGAUUUCUUCUCAGCCUUCCAGCCCUUUCCAGCUGUAUCACAGACAGGAGACAUAAUGCAAAGGGGCUCAGACAUUGACUUCCUGGAUCUUUGCGGCCCCAGGCAUUGACCCCCUCUACCUGGCUUUUCCUACGCUGUAAAAUGAGGAUCCUCCUAUAUUAUGGAGUUUAUUGUGACAACUAAAUAGCUGAGAAGAAGGACAUCUCAUUUGUUUUAACUAUGCAGUUUCCUGUCUAUCUAUCUAUCUAUCCCAUCAAUCUAUCAAUCAAUCUAUCAAUCUGUCUAUCCCUAUCUAUCUAUCCAUCUAUCUAUCUAUAUCUGUCUAUAUCUAUCUAACAUUUAUCUAUCAUCUAUUCAUCUAUCAGCUAUCUUCUGUCUAUCAAUAUUUCAAUCAAUCUCUCUAUCCCUAUCAAUUAAUCUAUCUACCUACCUAUCAACUAUCCAUCUAUCUCUAUCAUCUAUCAUCUAUUCAUCUAUCAUUUAUCAUCUGUCAAUCCAUCUUCCUACUAUCUAUCAAAAGCAACACAUUUUCUUCCUGACUUUAAAAAUAUUUAAGUGGGCCGGGAGGAUGGCUCACGCCUGUAAUCCCAGCACUUUGGGAGGCCUAGGCGGGCGGAUCACGAGGUCAGGAGAUGGAGACCAUCCUGGCUAACAUGGUGAAACCCCGUCUCUACUAAAAAUACAAAAAAAAAAAAAAAUUAACCAGGCGUGGUGGAGGGCGCCUGUAGUCCCAGCUACUCGGGAGACUGAGGCAGGAGAAUGGGGAGAACCCGGGAGGCGGAGCUUGCAGUGAGCCGAGAUCAUGCCACUGCACUCCAGCCUGGGCGACAGAGCAAGACUCCAUCUCAAAAGAAACAAAAACAAAAACGUAAGUGAUACUCUGUCCACUCUUUUGAUUGAGGAGGUCUGAUUUUCAGGCUUUGGAUUUUAUUAUGUCUUCAAUAUAAUAAUUGUUCCAUGUAUCUCUCCUAAAUUGCCAUUUGAAAAACUGCUUUUCUGAAGUUUAAAGUGCACAUUUUGAUACAUCUUGACACAUAUAUACACCCAUGAAAUCAUCACCACAAUCAGGAUAGUAGAUCUAUCCAUUACCGCCAAGGUUUACUUGCACUCCUUUGAACUUUCUCCCCACUCCUCACCCCCUGCCUAUCCCCAAUCCUUAAGCAAUCACUGAUUUGCUUUCUGUCACUAUCAGUUAAUUUGAAUUUUUCAGAAAUGUAUAUAAAUAAAAUCAUUCGACGUGUAUGCUCUUUUUCUGUUCACCCGGUACAAUUUGAGAUUUAGCCAUGUUUUUGCAUGUGUCAAUAGUUUAUUUUUUUGUUGCUCAGUACUAAUCCAUUUUAUGGAUACAGAGAAAUGUAUUAAUGCAAUCCCAUAUUAAUAGGCAUUUGGGUUGUUUCCAGGUUUGGGCUGUUACAAAUAAAGCUGCUAUGAACAUUUUUGUGCAAGUCUUUUUAUGAGUAUAUUCCUUUAUUUCUUUUGGGUAAAUACCUAGAAGUGGGAUGGGUGUAUCACAUGGUACGUAAAUAUUUAAAUUUUUAAGAGAAUGCCAAACUGUUUUUCAAAGUAAUUGCACCAUUUUAUAUUCCCACCAGGAAUAUAUGAGAAUUCCAGUUCCUCUACAUACUCACAGACAUAUUGUAUGGUCAGU